rnacentral:misc_RNA from 1 species
AACGCACGAGACCUGCGGACCUGCGGAAGGAUCAUUACAUGGCGGAGAAGGUGGGCAACCUGGCCAACAUCCAGGUUGUGAUGCCUUCACGCUCUUCCACCCUUGUCUAUUUGCACCUUCUGUCGUUCCCUCGGCGGGUUUCGACCCGCCGGCGGCAACAUUGAAAAACCCUUUUUGCAGUUAGCAUUCAAUUCUUCUGAUCAAAUAUUAAAUCAUUACAACUUUCAGCAACGGAUCUCU